UGGGGAAUUUUGGACAAUGGGGGCAACCCUGAUCCAGCCAUGCCGCGUGCAGGAUGAAGGCCUUCGGGUUGUAAACUGCUUUUGUCAGGGACGAAAAGGACCGUGUUAAUACCAUGGUCUGCUGACGGUACCUGAAGAAUAAGCACCGGCUAACUACGUGCCAGCAGCCGCGGUAAUACGUAGGGUGCAAGCGUUAAUCGGAAUUACUGGGCGUAAAGCGUGCGCAGGCGGUUCUGUAAGACAGAUGUGAAAUCCCCGGGCUUAACCUGGGAAUUGCAUUUGUGACUGCAGGACUAGAGUUCAUCAGAGGGGGGUGGAAUUCCAAGUGUAGCAGUGAAAUGCGUAGAUAUUUGGAAGAACACCAAUGGCGAAGGCAGCCCCCUGGGAUGCGACUGACGCUCAUGCACGAAAGCGUGGGGAGCAAACAG
rnacentral:rRNA from 1 species